GUAGCUAAGUUGGUAAAAUGCUUGCUUAGAAUGCAUGAGGUCCUGGGUUCAAUCCCCAGC
rnacentral:tRNA from 1 species